CCGGUGGGAUAGGGGAGCCGUUACCGCCGGGGACCGGAAGGCCGGGAAUCCGUCCAUCGGCCUGAAGCCGGGCCAAGCCUCCCGAGAGCCUAGGGCGUAGGAGUUUUAGGAGUUCCGAAGAGUGCCGAGGACUCCUGUCUGGGUCUUUGGUGCGAGCCCUGGCUCCGGCCUUAGUCGUGUUUCCGCGCUAGGACGGCUUUUCAAAGUCUUUCUUGAAGUUGGACCAUAUUAUUUAUUUUACUAUUGACGGUCCCCUGUAUGUAUCAUUGGUUAUCCGGCGCAGGGCGCCGUUCAGUGCGCCUUGAGGUAGAAGCUGGGGGUGGGGGGCUUACAGAUGCUUGAGGUGUGGUCCUUACCUACGUGAAACGUUGGAGGUUGAGGUGAAAAAUCUGGCUUUGAUACCUUCAAGGAGUACUACGUUAUUUCAAUCCUGAGUCCUGGUUCAGUUCUCUUAUUGACUUAUUAUAUUAAAAAUGUGGUGUUUUUUAAUUAACUAUAAUAUUUGCUUUGGUAAACCUUUGCUGUUUAACAAGAAGUUUUGCAGCUAUCCAGUAUACUCUUUAUGAUACAUAAAAGCGUUAAUAUUUUAAAAUCCAUAGGAUGUACCAUUUCGGAAUUUAGUUUUAUCACCUUUGUGCUAUUAGAGAGUAUAUGUACUUUGAAUUGCUAAAAUGAGUUAAAAUAUUGGAAAACACCUAUCUCAGCAGAGGCACUUACAAAUUACUUUCAUCCUUC